rnacentral:rRNA from 1 species
CAGCAGCCACGGUAAUACGAAGGGUGCAAGCGUUAAUCGGAAUUACUGGGCGUAAAGCGUGCGUAGGCGGUUUGUUAAGUCUGCUGUGAAAUCCCCGGGCUCAACCUGGGAAUGGCAGUGGAUACUGGCAAGCUAGAGUGUGUCAGAGGAUGGUGGAAUUCCCGGUGUAGCGGUGAAAUGCGUAGAGAUCGGGAGGAACAUCAGUGGCGAAGGCGGCCAUCUGGGACAACACUGACGCUGAGGCACGAAAGGGUGGGGAGCAAACAGGAUUAGAUACCCCCGUAGUCCCUGUCUCUUAUAC